rnacentral:lncRNA from 1 species
GGAAACAGCACCGCAACCUUUAUGCGCUUUCAUCAAGCCCUCUUACUUUUGUCUCCAGGCUGCUUGUUCAGAAUGGCCGCACUCUGAAGUUUAAGGCAUGGUCGAAAUCACAAAUCAGCAAGGAGCCGUCCUUGCCUUUGUGUCUCUGGCCACACUCGGGUUAGUGUCUGCCAUCUGCUUGGGCUGCAGAAAAAAAUCCAUGACCAGGCCUAACCAGAUAACCUCAGAUCAGUCUCCGAGCUUCGGGAACACAGGUCAUGCGUCUCACAUCCAACCACAGGCAGCAGUUCAGGACACUCACAGCAGUUACCAGAACCUUCCCAACUGUAAGUCUAUAUUUCAGUUUUCUUCCAAUUAACUAAAAAAAAUACAUCUGCAGAUUUUCCAUUUAUUAAUUGAAAAGUUACUUUAUUUCAGUAAUUCUUUUCCAAAUCUGAAACUUAUCUAUUAUAUAGAUUUGUAUAGGCUAUUCUAAGUGUUUUUUCCUUUUAUUGUUGAUGAUUAUGGCUUACAGCCAAUCAAAACCUAAAAUUAUCUCAUGAAGAGAGAGUCAUCUGCUGGUGUUGAUCCACUGUGUUUUAUUAUCAAGUCUAAGGUCAGUGCAGAGUUUUCCCACAAAAUCUUACAGCACUUCAUGCUUACCUCUGCUGACAACUUUUAUAAAGAUGGAGAUUUCAUUUUCCAGCAGGACUUGGCACACUGCCUAAAGUACCAAUUGGUCUUUUCCCCAGCUGACACACAACCGACCUUCAACAUUAUAAUGUGGUUGAAAUGUGGUUAAAGUAAUGUUUGUUGUUGUUUCAAUGUUAAAACAAAGUUUAAUGUUAAAUGGUUGUGCAAACAUUGAAAUGUUAUUGUUGAAUCAAUAUAAUGUCCUCAACCUUCUGCCAUUAAAUUACCAUUUUAUUUAUUCAUGGAGGAAU